rnacentral:rRNA from 1 species
GGGCUAAAACGUACUACCGAAGCUACGGCAUCAUUUAUGAUGGGUAGGGGAGCUUUCUAUACGGGUUGAAGCAUGACCGUAAGGACAUGUGGACUGUAUAGAAGUGAGAAUGUUGGCAUGAGUAGCGAGAUGUGGGUGAGAAUCCCACAGGCCGUAAACCCAAGGUUUCCAGGGGAAGGUUCGUCCGCCCUGGGUUAGUCAGGACCUAAGCCGAGGCCGAAAGGCGUAGGUGAUGGACAACAGGUUGAUAUUCCUGUACCACCAAUAACCGUUUGAGAAAUGGGAUGACACAGAAGGAUAAGCUAACCGCACUGUUGGUUAUGUGCGGGCAAGUAUUGAGGCAGUUCCGAUAGGCAAAUCCGUCGGAAUAAUGCUGGGGUACGAUGCGGAGCGAAAUUAAGUAGCGAAGUAGCUGAUUUCACACUGUCGAGAAAAGUCUCUAUCGAGGUUAAAGGUGCCUGUACCGCAAACCGACACAGGUGGGUGAGGAGAGUAUCCUAAGGCCAGCCAGAGAACUGUUGUUAAGGAACUCGGCAAAAUGACCCCGUAACUUAGGGAGAAGGGGUGCCUUCGAAAGAAGGCCGCAGAGAAUAGGCCCAAGCGACUGUUUACCAAAAACAUAGGUUUCUGCUAAGUCGCAAGACGAUGUAUAGGAGCUGACGCCUGCCCGGUGCUGGAAGGUUAAGGGGAUCUGUUAGAGCAAUCGAAGCAGUGAACUUAAGCCCCAGUAAACGGCGGCCGUAACUAUAACGGUCCUAAGGUAGCGAAAUUCCUUGUCGGGUAAGUUCCGACCCGCACGAAAGGCGUAACGAUUUGGGCACUGUCUCAACAACAGACUCGGUGAAAUUGUAAUACCGGUGAAGAUGCCGGUUACCUGCGACAGGACGGAAAGACCCCAUGGAGCUUUACUGUAGCUUGACAUUGAGUCUCGGUGCUACAUGUACAGGAUAGGUGGGAGACUAUGAAGCAUGGACGUCAGUCUGUGUGGAGUCAUCCUUGGGAUACCACCCUUGUAGUACUGGGAUUCUAACCAGAGGCCAUGAAUCUGGUCUUGGGACACUGUCAGGUGGACAGUUUGACUGGGGCGGUCGCCUCCCAAAAAGUAACGGAGGCGCUCAAAGGUUCUCUCAGUACGGUCGGAAAUCGUACGAAGAGUGUAAAGGCAAAAGAGAGCUUGAUUGCAAGACAUACAGGUCGAGCAAGGACGAAAGUCGGACUUAGUGAUCCGGUGGUACCGCAUGGAAGGGCCAUCGCUCAACGGAUAAAAGCUACCCUGGGGAUAACAGGCUGAUCUCCCCCAAGAGUCCACAUCGACGGGGAGGUUUGGCACCUCGAUGUCGGCUCAUCACAUCCUGGGGCUGUAGUAGGUCCCAAGGGUUGGGCUGUUCGCCCAUUAAAGUGGUACGCGAGCUGGGUUCAGAACGUCGUGAGACAGUUCGGUCCCUAUCCGUCGCAGGCGUAGGAAAUUUGAGAAGACCUGUCCUUAGUACGAGAGGACCGGGAUGGACGUACCUCUGGUGUACCAGUUGUUCUGCCAAGGGCAUGGCUGGGUAGCUAUGUACGGAAUGGAUAAGCGCUGAAAGCAUCUAAGCGCGAAGCCAACUUCAAGAUAAGAUUUCCCACCGUAAGGGUAAGACCCCAGGAAGACUACCUGGUUGAUAGGUCGAAGGUGUAAGUGCAGUAAUGUAUUUAGCUUAUCGAUACUAAUAGGUCGAGGACUUGACCAA